AAAUAAAUAACCAAACAAACAACCCAACUAUGUGUAAGAAUUGGGUUGUCUUUGCUUUCAUCUUUUUGGUUCUCCUUAGUGGCGUCUCUUCGGCUUCAGCCACACCUCCUGCCAAAAUCGUAAGUGGGGUUGUCUCCAAUAUCGUCUCUGCACUUGUUAAGUGGCUCUGGUCAGUCAAAUCCAACACUAAAAAAGAUACAGCUGUCUCUAGCCGUUCGAUGAUAAAAUUUGAAGAUGGACAUGCAGUGGAGACGGUUUUUGAUGGAAGUAAGCUUGGAAUUGAGCCAUACUCGGUUGAGUUAUCUCCAAGUGGAGAGCUCUUGGUUUUGGAUUCACAGAAUAGUAAUAUUUACAAGAUCCAAACACCAUUAUCUAGAUAUAGCAGGCCCAAGCUGAUUGCUGGAUCAUCUGAAGGGUACUCUGGACAUGUAGAUGGGAGGCUAAGAGAAGCAAGAAUGAACCACCCAAAAGGUCUUACGGUGGAUGACCAAGGAAACAUAUAUAUAGCAGACACAAUGAAUAUGGCUAUCAGAAAGAUAAGUGAUGGAGGGAUUACAACUAUUGCAGGUGGAAAAUGGGCUCAUGGGGGUGGUCAUGUUGAUGGUCCAAGUGAAGAUGCAAAGUUUUCAAAUGAUUUUGAUGUGGUCUAUAUUGGAAGCAGCUGCUCUCUCUUUGUUAUAGAUCGAGGAAACCAGGCAAUUCUAGAGAUUCAACUUCAUGAUGAAGAUUGUAGCUAUCAAUAUGAUGGUAGUUUCCACUUAGGUAUAAUAAAAUUUGUCUUACUUUCAUCCAUAAUUUAUGUUUUGUUUCCCAUGAUCAUGGACAUCUAUGUAACGUUUUUUGUCAUUUUAGGGAUAGCAGCGCUAGCUGCUGCUGCAUUCUUUGGCUACAUGCUAGCAUUUUUGCAACGUAGCGUACAAGCAUUAUUUUCUUCCAAUGAUGAUUCAAGAGCUUGUACAAAGAAAGGUGCACCAAAUGCACCAUACCAAGGGAAUCCUAAAUCAUUCAGGCCCCCUUUGAUUCCAAAUGAAGUUGAGCUUGAGAAACCAGAUGAGGGCUUUUUGGGUUCCCUCGGGAGGCUUGUCCUCAACACUGGAUUAACUGUAGGUGAAAUUUUUGGGGGAUUAUUUUCAGGCUUCAGAAGGAAGCCCAUCCACUACCAGUUUCAACAGCAAUACCAGUACCAACAAGUUCUCCAACAUUCAAAUGCAUGGCCAAUGAAAGGAAGUUUUGUGAUUCCUAAUGAAGAUGAGCCACCAUCAAUAGAAACCAGAACUCCUACCCCAAAUAAAACGUAUCCAUGCAUGAUCAACGACAUGGAGAAGGACCACCAAUUCAAGCAAAACCAUAGUUGCCAUAGAGGGUGGGAUGGCGAGCAUCACCAACAGAAACAGCAACAGCAACAGCAGCAAAUGCAAACGCAGAUGCAGAUGCAGAUGCAGCACCACCACCAGCAACAGCAGCAUCAUCAUCAUAGGCAUUAUACAUCUAACCCAAAAGCAUACUAUGAAAAGAGCUGUGAGACAAAUGAGAUUGUGUUUGGGGCUGUUCAGGAACAGGAUGGUCGGCGUGAAGCUGUGGUGAUAAAGGCUGUUGACUUUGGAGAUCCUAGGUCCAAUCACCAUAAUAUUCGACCUCGAUUCAACUAUGUUGGUUACCCUCAUGGGUAUUAAUCAUGUACUUGUAUUACUGGAGGGGAAAACAAAAACAAUAUUUUGAGCUUUACAUGUGAGUUAUGAAGAUGAGUAUGGAAAAUAUAUCUAGGAAGAAGCCUUUUACUGUUUUUCAAUAUAUUUCAUUUGUUUAUUUAUAUUUUUUAAACUCUUCCUUUUUACUGUUUUAUUCCUUGGUAGAAAUGUUAGUGCUGUAUUACAAAGUUUGAUCUUAGCGAAAAAAAGAAUAUGUAAAAUAUCUUCUAAUAUAUGAAGAUAAUAAUGGCUUGCUGUUGAAGUUGUAUGUCUUGUAUUCCACGUAUGCUUUUGGUCUUACACUGAAAUUAAAGCUGGGGGGGUUCAA
rnacentral:misc_RNA from 1 species